UGGGCAUGUUUCUGGAGCACUUGAGGGAUGUCUGUCUCUGUGGACUCAUGCUUUGUGAUGCUGUCUUUGUUUGUCAGAGUGGGUCCUCAUGCUUUCCCACGAUGGCACUUUGUGUCUUGCCGUCUCGGACAUAUUCCACUUCUGCUUCCUUAGCUCUGUUCUCUCUUUGCCAGUCACUGCUCUGAUACUGACUGGCAGGUUGACACUUUUGUUUUAAAAUUCUCUUUGCUUAGAAAUACCUUCCAUCUAUUUUUCAAACGUUCUGUUGCAUUUUUAAUUGCAUCUGUGAUUUUUUUUUCAAGAAAUUAAAAAAAAAACCAACCCAACAACAUUAUUUAGUCCCUGCUUCUUUUAAAAAGCAUCUACAAGCUGGGCAGAGGUGGUGCACACCUUUAUCGAUAGCACCUGCUCUACACAGUGAGUUUAAGGACAGCCAGUUUCAGAUAAACCUCAUCCAGGAAAAAAAAAAAGAAAGAAAACAAAAACAACAACAAAGUGAUUGGAUGGAUCGAUAGAUACAUACAUACAUACAUACAUACAUACAUACUACUGAUAGUUUUCCUCAUUUUCUUUGAUUAUUUUCUCAAAUUCUUUUUAUAACAUUACUUGGUUUUGUUUGCUUAUGUACUUACUUACUGUGUAUGUCUGAGUAUAUUUGUGUGCAUGUGUCUUUGGAGGCCAGAGAGGCCAUUUGGCCCACGGAGCUAGAGCUGGUGGGUGACUGGGAGCCAACUGAUGUGGAAACUAGGAAGGACCCAAACUGAGGUCCUCUGCAAGAGCAGCAGAUACUCUUAGUGCUUUGAGCCAUUGCUCCAGCCCCCAAAUGUCUCUUAGUUAGCCUGGCCUGUUUUUAUACUGGUUCUUGCUUGUCAGGUGAUCUUCGAUGCCUGUUCACAUUAAGAAAAAGGUACCAUAUACGGGAUGUUUUUGUGAAAGGGCUUAUAGUCAUAUUCUCUUGUCUAUUAGGGAUAUCUUCCAAGAUCCCUAGAGGAUGCCUGCAACCACACAUAAAGUCCCAUAUACACUGUGUAUACAUAUAUACAUACUGUAAUAAAGUAUAAUAUAUGUACUAGAUAUAGAGAAUAACAACAAUUGCUAUUAUACAACUAUAGCAAUAUACAAUAAAAUGGUGUAUGAAACUGGUCUCUUUACCACAAUAUGGAAUUUUCUAUUAACAUUUUUAUACCAUAAUUGACCUCAGGCAACUGACAAGUAUAGAACAGUGUUUCUCAACCUGUGGGUUACAUAUCAGAUAUCCUGCAUAUUAGAUAUUUACAUUACCAUUCACAACAACACUAACAUUACAGUUGUGAAGUAGCAAUGAAAUAAUUUUAUGGUUGGAGGUCACCACAACAUGAGAAACUGUAUUAAAGGGUCUCAGCAUGAGGAAGGAUGAGAACCACUGCUCUAGAGGGUGAAAUCUUGAGGAAGGAGAGGAUACUGCUACUGGUAGGUCUUACCGUAGCAUUCGAAAUCAAGAUAUCAGCUGUCUUAGUUUAGGUUUCAUUGCUGUGAACAGACACCAUGACCAUGGCAACUCUGAUAAAGGAAAACAUUUCAUUGGUGCUGGCUUACAGUUUCAAAGGUUUGGUCCAUUGUCAUCCUGGUGGGAAGUAUGGUGGCUCGAAAGAGCUGAGUUCUGCAUUCAGAUCAUCAAGCAGCAGGAAGAUCAAAUGGCACUGGGCCUGCCGUGAGCUUCUGAAACUCAAAGCUGCCCCUACAGAGACAUAUUUCCUCCAUCAAGGCCACACCUCCUAACAGUGCCACUCCCUAUGGCCAAGCAUCCAACCAUAUGGAUCAAUGGGGGCCAUUUCUCUUCAAACCACACCAGCCUUCCCAGUACGGGAAACCUUCUUUGUCAGCAUCAUCAAAACAGAACCUAGGAUGUCAUACCUAGAGUUCAGAAGGUUUCUCUGUUUUCUGGAAAGUAGAAUUCGCCUCUGAAGGAACUGAAAAGGGCCUCGCCCUGGUAUGUUUGUGGAAGGGUCAGGCCUCCUUGCAUCCUGACUUCCGUGGGGAAGAAGGGAACCUUCUCAACUCCUUAAGCUUCCAGGCUGCAUCCACCUUCUGGUCCUGACUCGUCUUUUAGGAUGUAUGUUUCAACCACUCACUCACUUCUUCACCUGUUUCUGUCCUCCAAGUACAGGACUCAUCUCCUUUGCAAUAUGACUUUAGGAUCAGAAGAUAUAUAAUGUAUAUUUUUCUGAGUUGCUUUUCAGAUUCACAAAAAAGUCCACCCAAAUCUUCUCUUUCCAAGAAAUAAUACCUUUCAUAAAAGUAUUAACUGUUUUUAAAUCUUAAAAUUAUCAGUAAAAUAUGGAGUCGUUUUUAUAAAGACUUCAGAUCAUGCUUUUUGGUGAAAGGUGUGGAUCCAUUUCCCUUAACUGCAGUUUUAAGUAGGAAGAGUGUUCUGUAGUAGUAGUAGUAGUAGUGCCUAUUUUCUUAGAAAUUUAUUU
rnacentral:lncRNA from 1 species